CUGGGCUCAAGUGAUCCACACUCCUCAGGCUCUCAAAGUGCUGGAUUUACAGGCAUGAGCCUCCUCACCCAGCCUCCUUCUUGGUCUUAAAUGCCACCCGGUUGUGGGAGUCAGGCCACACCUCACCACCAGGGGUACUUGCAGUUAUGUGAAGACUUUCCUACAGUGAAGAACCACCGCUCAAUUUAAGUGGUGGUCAAAUCCCAAUUUUCCUCCACUCUGGUAGAGGUUAAAAGACUAGAGAGGCCAAGAUGAGAAGUUAGUGUGGGCCCGAGAGACUGUUUUAAGUCGAGGGUACCUUAAGAGUGUUGUCAAUCAAGGUCCCGUGGAUGCAGAUGGCACAUUCAGGGAGAGGGAGACCAGCAAGGGAUGCAGGGCGCCAGGAGAGCCCCAGAUCUGAGGGGAGGGGAGGGGAAGGGAGGUGUUCCGGAACUCCGAGACCUGUGGCAUGGGAGACUUGGCAAGAGCUUCACUCCAAGGUAGAGGAAGGAACAAACCAUUGUAAAACUGAGGCCCUGCGGGGAGGGAGCCCACUGGUGCGAUCCAGAGCUGUCAGCCUCCCCAGGCACUGCGUGGCCAGGGCUUGGAGAGAAGAGGCAGCAAGGUGGGGGUGAGCUUGGCUCAUAGGGGUCAGCGAGGAAAGCAGAGGGGUGGGGGUGGGCAGUGGGUCAGGCCUGGUCCCACUUGGGAUCUGGGGGAGACAGCAGCCCCGCCCUGCUUAUUUCCCUUGAGCCCUCUGGUGGUGGAUGGAGCCGGCCCCCUGGUUUAGAUCCUUGGACAGGGGACCAGAGUAGGGCAAGGUGAGGAGAGUUGUGAUCAGGGAGCCAGACCCAAUUUGGCUUCAUGACAUCUUUUAGUUGGAGAUUAUGUUUUCCAUGGGAAAGUAUUUGAACACAGUGGUGGCAGUUCCUGGCAGGAGACCUCAAGAGGAGAGUGAGUCGGGGGGCUGCAGAAUGCAGUGGGAAUGGCACACCUCCCUGCUGGGGCCCUCACUGUGGGCUGGAGCUCAGUGUGCUGUGUCAGCUCCUGGGUCUCCACACUGGACCUGAACAGGCUGAGUUCCUGAGGGCAGCACAUCCUUGCUCAUUCCCCAGGCCCUGGUACCUAGGGCGGCAUUGGGCAUGGGCUUGGAGUACAUACGUGGAUGGAUGAGGCAGUGGCUGGCUGAACCAGUCUUCACUCAGGGACACAUCAUUUCACGGGGUCCCUUGGGGUGUCACCCACCUGCUGCUGCUGUACUUAAAGGGCCACAAGGCCAUGUGGGGCCACCUCAUUCCUGAGCAGUACGGUUUGGGACCUGGCUUUGAUGGGCCUCCACCUUCUCACUACUCCCACCCCCAGCCCGUCUGCUCUCAGUACUGCAAGAGCCACGAUGGCUUCAGGCAUUCCUGCUGAUCUGCCUGAACAGUCAGCGAAGGCAGCCCCACAGUGGGGAGAAACGGCUGCUUGCUCAGCUCCCUCUGCUCCAAGUCACAGACCUUGUCUCCACUCAUGGGCUGUUCCCAGUCCUCACACAACGCUUACAUGCCACCCUCCAACCUUGGUGCACACGUCCUCUAGCCAUGUAUGUGUGUGUAUGUGUGUGUAUGUGUAUGUGUGUGUAUGUGCCUGUGCGUGUAUGUGUGUGUGCACAUUGCUCUGCCUUGCUGCACUCUGUGCAUCCUCUAAUCCUCCACAGCCUGGCUCAGGCCACCUCAGGCCCUCCCACUGAGAGCACCCCUGGCCGGUUGGCUAAGCUCCGUGUCCCUUCUUCCCCCUUCCAGCCUCCCACUGCAUGACUCACCCAGCGCCAGCCUUGGUGCUUUCCCUCCCAGUGGCUCUCGGCUCCGUCCCCUUUUCUUCAUCUCCACGGGGCCUCAUGACUCUUGUCCCAGUUCUCCUAGCUCCUGAAGUGCAGGUGUGACUGGGUGACUCUCCUGCCUAAAGCCCUUUAGGAAUAUCCCCAUGCUUUCUGGCAGAAACCACAUCUCCUGCCCAUCCCGUGUCCCACUUCCCCUUGCUCUGGAUCCUUGCCUCACUGCAGUUUGGUUCCUGAAUUCCUCUCCCCUCCUCCCCACACAACCUUCAUGUUCGCUGUGUCCUUGGUCUGGGCUGCUAUCUCCCAGCCUGCCUGGCGCUCAGUUAUUUAGUGUUCCUCCUGCUGGAAUGCCCAGGGGGACCCGUUCACUGACACGUUGCUUCUCCCACGGAAGCUUCCCUGUCUCACGUCAGAUGCCUGUUUGUGCACUGUCAUACCCCCAAUACCUCUUCCUCGCCCUACUGCUAACUAAUUAAGUUACCAUGGAGCUAGCGGCUUAGCAUCUCCUCCACUGACAUGUAAAAUCUGCAAUGGCAGGAUUGUGUAUCUUGUUUACAGCUCUGAACUGAGGCUCUCCAUAAUAUUUAUUUUUUGCAGUUUCAGUAACUAGAAGCAAUAUUUUUUCAUAAAUGAACAGGGCCCUAAGCUAUAACAGACACAGCCGCAGCUUCCUAAAAGCCUCUGACCAAUUAGCAAGGCUGGCUCCAUUCCCUUUAGAUACGGCCGUUCUGAAUCCUAUCUGACCCUGUCCUGUCUUCCCACCUUGAGACUUGCCAAGGACAGGGCCUGGCCCUAGUCAUCCAUGAUUGCUGACAUCAGUGGGGAAACCAGGACACUUCUGGGUCACUUCCUAUAGGGCACCGAUUGCUACCUAGGGCACCAGGGACCCUGGCUUUAGGAGGAUUUUUUUAAUAAUAUUGCGUCCCUACACACAGGUCAGAGGUUGAUCUCAGAAAGGUUAAGAAACAUGCUCUAGGGCUUUGUCGCCAAGUCGGGUGGUAGGCAGCUGCCUUGUAACUGUCACCCUGCACUUCUCCUUCUCCCGUGCCUGCUGUGUGCCAGGAUCAUUAGCACUCUGUCCUAGAUCCCUUGUGAGCAUUGUUCUCCUGGCUUAGACCUCACUUCUCCCCAUCCCAGGUUCAUGGUUCUCUGGGUACGAACUUGCAAAGAUGCCUGACAUCCCAGAGCAAUCAUAAACAGACCCAGGUCUUGGCCGACUUACAGAAAACGACAUCAACACACAAAGACUCCCCCUCCUCAGCCUCCCCCGCCACGUGCAGGCACACACACAUGCACACGCACACGCACACGCACAUGCACAUCGGGACACAGCCAGAAUACAGGGAGGGGAGUCUCAGAGUCGUGGUGCUGAUGCUGGCUCUGCCCUUCGCUGACCCUCCUAGCCCUGCUGCCUCAGUCCCCCACCAGUGUCCACAAUGCAGGGCUCCACUCAGCCUUGCCUGCAGCUGGGCACACACACAAACUUGAUCCCCAUGUGUGUAGCUCACAGGCUGAGUUCCAGAUCAAUGCGUGGGUCCUCACCCGGCCAGGCGUCCUGCUUGUCUCCUGCCCACCAUGUCCCUAUAGUAACAUAAUGGGGCCUUUAUUAUCCCCCAGACACUGUGCUAGGUUCUUAGAGACAUUUUCUCAUUUAUUCCCAAUUGGGGCAUGUGGUUGGUGAUAUUAUUAUUUCAAUUUUACAGGAAAGGGAACAUCACAGAAAGGUGAAGAAAUUUGCCCUAAAUCAUAAAACUUUGUAAGUGGCAGAACAAGGAUUUGAAGCUGGCAGUCUGGCUCCAGAAUCUUGCUCUGCCCUGCCCCGCACCCCAGGAGGUUGGCCCCAUGCUCUGCAUCACCCCGACUCCCUUCCCCUCUGGCUCCAAGCUAGAUUCAGCCAACGGGAGACACCAGCAGAAGAUGGAAGGCUGGGAGGAGAGGCUGGGAUCUGUCUCCUCCACUCUCUGCCUGUCUCGGGGCCUCCAGGACUUCAGCUUCCACUGGGCAGCCUCCCCUUGGACUCUGUGACCACCAUUUUUUGCCAUUAUCCCCUUGAUCCUAAGGGUGGUAACAGCUUCCUGCUAUUGCCAACUGCUGGGUGCCUCAACAUCCUUUGUUGGUUUCCUUAAACUUGUCUGCAUCUCUGUAAAUCAUCCUUUACUAAAUAGCCCUUCAUCUGAAGCGUCAGUAUGAAUGCCGUUCCUGCCAGGACUCUGACCAGUGCACAUGCAAUGCAGUGGAAUGCAGCUGAAAGGAGUGUUGACACCAGAUUCAAAUUUAGAAAGCAUUUGAAAGCGUGGUCUAAUAAUGUCUCCAUGGAAGAGGAAGAACGUGCUGACAAAGGAAGUGACGAAGCUCCCCAGGACCUGGUGCACCCCAUGUCUCCUGGAGGGUGACCGCUAGCUGGCAAAGCCUGUCCCUGUGUUGUAGGUCAGAUUCUCCAGAGGGAGAAGCAGACGGGCCAGAAGCUGGGUCAGUUUCUCUUUAUGGUUAACAUGAAAGAGCUUUAAAUAAAACAUGCCAAGGAAGAAGAUAAGCUGGGACUCCAGAUUCGGGAAAGAUGGAAAAAGGUAAGGUGCUGUAGGCAAAAAAGUGGCCCUCUCGAAAGAUGUCCCCACUUUAAUGCCCAGAGUCUGUGAGUAUGUUAGUUUACAUUGCAAAGGGGAAUUAAGGUUGAAGAUGGGAUUAAUCAGCAGACCUUCAAAUAAGGAGAUCACGCAGGGUCCUUGCAAGCUGGAGAGGGAGGCAGAAGAGGAGGCCAGGGAAUGCUAUGAGGCAGGUGCCUCCAGAAGCUGGAAUACACAGGGAGACAAGUUCUCACCUCAGAGCCUCGAGGAAAUACUUUGAUUUUAGCCCAGCGAGACCCAGGUGGGACUUCCUAACCACAGAACUGUCAGAUGAUACAUUCAUCUUGUUUAAGUCACCAAGGUUAUGGUAGUUUGUUAUGUCUGCAGUAGAAAACUAAUAUGGACGGAUAGAGAGGAAAGGACUGAAAACAAGACAGAGAAGGCCUAAAGCAGUGAGCUGGAGAAAAAGGCCAUUCUGGGGUCAGAAAGACUCAGGACAAGUUGGAUCCGAUUCUUCAUGGGGCACCCUGGGCCUCGGGGUGGGGUAGAGGCAAAAGACAUCUCCCCUUGCUGGCCAUUCUAGCAUUCAGGACCAGCUACAUAAUUUGGGGAGCCCAGUACAAAAUGAAAAUGCAGGGCCCCUUGUGUAAAGUUAUUAAAUGGGAGGAUCGCUUGAACCUGGGAGGCGGAGGUUAC